GUGGCCGCCAGAGGGCGCUGUGCGCUGAUGGUCCCAUGAGCUGACUCAACUAGUAGAAUGAGUCGUUGAGGAAGGAGCGAGCAUAAAACAAAAGUGCUGCUAAACUGCAGCGGAAGAUGGACCAGCCUAAGUAGUAGAAACAACAGCGGGUUCUGGAAAAAAGGUUUCAGGCUCUUCUGUGGGAGGUCAAGGGUCACAGGCACUAAGAACAUCAGCUGACUGGCACAACAGGGACAGCUUGCCACGUAAAUCACUGAUAUAUCGCCCAAAGAGGAAACCAGAAACGUGGAGGACUUUGUCUUCAGCCUCAGAAUAUUUGACGUUCCUGUUUGUCACAGUGUCCAAGGAAUGGCACGACUGAUAGGAGCGACAUAGAAAACGUUUCUGCAGUAUCUCUCACAAGGCUGAGAAAAUCUUUUGGGGGACAAAUCCUGCAUUAAGACAACAGAAGACAAAAGAAAAAGAUGAAUCCACAUCUGUGUGAGGAAACUUUGGAAGCCAAGACUGUGAAAGGAGAACAAGAUCCAUCCGAGGAGGAGCUGAAGACUAAAGAAGAAGCUAACAUCACUCACCCAAAGUCCCGCAGGGUUUGUUCUUGUAGGUGCAGAUGUCAUACCUGAGAUCAGGAGCAGUGACGGCACCACGGCUUUCCCCUGGAGAAACACCUGGAUCACACCUGCAGAAAUCACUGGAGUUCCCAGAAAAAUGGGGCCCAGAAGCCACUCAAACAUGAAGGAGAAUGAAUGUGAAGGUUGCUAACCCCAAAUGCAGGUAAUCCAAUACAGAGGAACACUUAGAACUACAAGAACACCACAUGCAUUUCAAACCAAUGAUGUAAUCGUUACCAGAGCUUUUAAUCUAUUAAAACUCAGGCCAGUUCUAAUCGGAUUUCCUGUCACCUCUUCUUCCAUCUCCACAUAAAUUCUCACCAAACCAGAGUCUUCCUUCAGGAUUAUGACCUACAUGUUUGGAUUCAUUUACCCCAUUUCCUUGUGUGUGUCUUUCUCUGUGCGAGACGAAUCACAUUCCCAGCAAUGGAGAAACGGUGUCCUGAAGGAGACUGAGGGUUUUGGAGGUCACUUUCAGGAGGGACGAGCCGAUGAACAGCUCAGAAACUAUUGUUUAUGUGAGAUCCAAGUGCUGAGAGGCACAACAAACCGUACCGGAUCAAACUGAGCUUUAUUCAGCAAGGAGGAAAACUGCACAAUAGUCCAAUAUUUUGUGCUUGUUCCUUCAUCUCUUCUAAAACUAACCACUCCAAUGUUUGCUCUACUACAGUCAAGAAUAAGUCAUUACUGUCGUCUGAUCCUCUCUAUGCGCUCGGCGUAGUGGAUCCCAUCCGGGGGAUCCACUACGGUCAUUUCUAUGAUAAGCAGUUUGGAAAAAUCUGGCCGAAAUUUGAAUAAAAUGGAUGAAUUCAAGGAAAUGUUGUUGUAAUGACCUGGAUUUUUUGUGUGUAGGGCAGAGACUUUAACUCUAUACUUACUUAAAAACCAAAAAAAAGAUCAAGAUAUUUCUUUUGGGAUCGGGAAUAAACAUUAAGCGAUAAACAAGUGAACAUAACCCAUAAAAAUACCUUUUAAAAAAUGAAAUUAAGACAUUUUAGAAGUUUAAAAGUGUCACAUACUUUUAUAUUCAUGUCAGCACAAUACAAACUGACAAAUUUUCACAAAAAAUUGCACUUUUCUUUUUUUUUUACCAAAGUGUAAAAUCCUAAUAUUUAACAAGUCACUACAAAAACAGUACAGAAAAAUAGCACAAAGACAACAUUCACUGAAGCAUACAGAAAAAAAAUCAGUAUAAAAAUCGUUUAGAAAUACAGAAUUUAUCUUUUUGUUUUAUGUAAUUUUAAAAAUGUAAUCUGUUUUAUGGCCAUAUUUACCUAAAAUAUUACUCAAAGCUUAUUGAGUUCUUGUGUUUUUGUUUUUUUGUUUUUAAGUUUUGUACUUUAUUUUCGAAAACAGUUUUUUCUCAGUCAGGCUGUUGACACAGCAUGAGACACUUUAUUAGGUGACCUUUUAGAUGCUGUUUUUAAUACUUUUAUUGUGUGGCGCCUCGUCUGACUGCGGCCUUGUUACCGGGCCUUAUAAAUAAGAGAUUUGUUGUUUUUUUCUAGCUUUUUGUGUUGUUUUAGUGUUUUUGCACUUCUACUAAUACUGUUAUUAACUUUUAUGGGUGAAAAAUAUUAGAUUGAGGUUCUGGUGAUGAACAUGAUGUGAAGCGGAAAGUUUUAAAUUGGUCAAAUAAUUACUGUUAAUAUUUUUUAAAUCAAAAAUAUUUUUUUGCACAUCCAGAAACAGCCUUUUGUUUGUUUAUGUUCUAUUUUGGGUCUGUGAGCUUUUUACUGAAUGUCUGUUGUCUCCAGCAGCUUCUUGUGUGACCAAUCACAGGAUGUUUCUGCUCAAAUAGAAGCAAACUUUAAAAGUGACGUUUGUUUUGUUUCUGCAGGUUGCAAUGUCCUUCUUACUAUGUAAGGAAUGUUGGGAUGUUUCAAUGUUAGGUUACAAAAGGGCGUUGAAUAAAGUUUUGUUCCAAAGGAUAACUCUCCCCUCUCCCCAUCAUCAGAACACUCUCUACAAACAAGCAUCUGAAUACUUUCCUGCAGAGCUGAGGCUAAAAAUGAACAGCAAAGCCAAAACAGCUGGAGAUCAUCAGCUGACAGAAAAACAAGGAAGAGCUUGUUAAUGAUAGAAAAAAUCUUUUUGUCCAGAACCCAGAAAGAGUCUUCAAAUCAUGAUGGGUAAAAAAAAGAAAGCACCAUCUUCUUUCUGGAUGAAUUAGUUCAAAGCAGGUUUCUCUGUUGCAGCUGAGGUGGCAAGACGCAUUUUACCGCAAACACCCUUGACCCAUAUUCCCGGGUGACAGGUACAGCAGAUUCGUACCAACCCGAGUUAUUUUCGGAACUGACGUCUUCAUUCCCUUAAAAUAUUUAUUCCAGGGGCAUUAAAAAAAUCUAACUGCUGGCAGCUGACGAGGACGCAGCACAAAUAAAACAAGUUUAAAGACCCACUCUGGUGAAAUCAGUUUUGGGUGUUUUAAACACAUUCUUGUGGUAUUUUGGGGAUGUUGAAGGAGAUAUAUUAAGAAAAAUAAGUUUAAAAUGCAUUUCUUAGUCUUUCCUUAUGUAAAUCAUUGUGAAUCAGGAGCAGAAACAAAACGCCAUCUGAAAAAAAUCAUAUUUGUGACGUAGAAAAUACACUAGGCAGCGCCACAAGCGGAUUUCUCCGCUCCAUUCUGAUGCUUCCACUGUCAGACAAAUAGAUCCAUGUCUGUCUUUGUUUUCCUGGUCCGAGCUGGAAUCUGGCUCUAAACUGUACAGCUGGAUAUCACCAUUAUUGCUCCUCAUUUUUAUUGCAAGGCUAAUGUUAGCUUGGGGUGUGAGGGGCUGUAAGCUAGUGAGAGAGCACGUAAACAGAGAGCUUUUAGUUAUGGUCGAUGGGAAGGAGGGCUGAGCGGCUUUACUCCACAGCAACGGCCCCGCUCACAAUUCAGACGAAUUUCUGAAGCUAUGUACACACCGCCCUCUGCAAUUUAAAUGAAAAUUCAGGGUUCACGCGUAGCUACGCGCGUUUCUACGACCGUUUUCAGGCUCUACACACAAAACGCCAGUGAACACGCAUUUAAGUUAAACUGGGUCGAACUUUAACUAAUCGGUGACUCUGAUUUGGCAGUGAUUGUAUAGAUGCUAUCCUUUUUAAUUCACAGAAAUGCCAAAUGUUUAAAAAUUGAUCAUGACGGACAAA